rnacentral:rRNA from 1 species
CAUGCGAGUCGAACGAAGAAGUCUUCUUCGUGGCGUACGGGUGAGUAACACACAGGAACCUGCCUUUUAGUUCAGGCUAAAAUUCUGAAUAAUCAAAGAAAUCUUUUCGCUAAAAGAUGAGCCUGUGGAGGAUUAGGUAGUUGGUAUUGGGUAAAAGCCUACCAAGCCGAUGAUCCUUAGCUGUUCUGAGAGGUUGUACAGCCACACUGGGACUGAGACAAGGCCCAGGCUCCAUAGGGAGCCAGCAGUGAGGAAUUUUGGACAAUGAGCGAAAGCUUGAUCCAGCAAUACUACAUGAGUGAUGAAGGCUUUCAAGUUGUAAAACUCUUUGGUUGAGGAGGAUAAUGACAGUACUCAACAAAAUAGCCCCGGCUAACUUCGUGCCAGCAGCCGCGGUAAGACGAAGGGGGCGAGCGUUAUCCGGAAUGACUGGGCGUAAAGGGUCCGUAGGCAGCAUUUUUUGUUAGAGGUAAAAGAAAAAAGCUUAACUUUUUCUGGCUUCUAAAACGUAAAUGCUUGGAGUUUGAAAGGAGAUAGCAGAAUUUCACAUGGAGGGGUGAUAUCCGUAGAUAUGUGAAGGAAUACCAGAGGCGAAGGCGGCUAUCUAGUUCAAUACUGACGUUGAGGGACGAAAGCAUGGGGAGCAAACAGGAUUAGAUACCCUGGUAGUCCAUGCCCUAAAAGAUGAGUGCUCGUGCUUAGAGGGUUUUAGGCACUUAGUUAACACGUUAAGCACUCCGCCUGGGGAGUACGACCGCAAGGUUGGAACUCAAAGGAAUUGACGGGGGCCUAUACAAGUGGUGGAGCAUGUGGUUUAAUGCGACAAUACGCGCGAACCUUACCAGUUCUUGACAUAAAAAAAAAAGGAUCCGAAGGAGAUCGAAGAUUUUACAGGUGCUGCAUGCUGUCGUCAGCUCGUGUCGUGAGAUGUAGUACUCCUCUACCGGCGAAACCCUGUUUAGUUGCUAUAAUAGACUAAGACUCUAAA